rnacentral:rRNA from 1 species
GAAACAUCUAAGUACCCCGAGGAAAAGAAAUCAACCGAGAUUCCCCCAGUAGCGGCGAGCGAACGGGGAGCAGCCCAGAGUCUGAAUCAGCUUGUGUGUUAGUGGAACGGUCUGGAAAGUCCGACGGUACAGGGUGAUAGUCCCGUACACCAAAAUGCACAGGUUGUGAACUCGAAGAGUAGGGCGGGACACGUGGUAUCCUGUCUGAAUAUGGGGGGACCAUCCUCCAAGGCUAAAUACUCCUGACUGACCGAUAGUGAACCAGUACCGUGAGGGAAAGGCGAAAAGAACCCCGGCGAGGGGAGUGAAAAAGAACCUGAAACCGUG